rnacentral:tRNA from 1 species
GGUGGAGCAGCUUGGUAGCUCGUCGGGCUCAUAACCCGAAGGUCGUCGGUUCAAAUCCGGCCCCCGCAACCA